GAACUUGUUGGGUACAAUUACUUCAAAUGGUGCAUUGAAGAUGUAUUUGAAGAAGAGGGUGGUGCAACUGUGAAGAUUGAAGAAAUGGGUGGUUCCAUUGUGAAGAUUGAAGAAAGGGGUGGGAAUUUUGUCAUAAGUGAAGAAAGGGAUGGUGAUGGGAAGAAUAUAUGUAAUUUGGAGAAAUCUACUAAGGUAUUUGAAAAAUGGAUUAAGGUGUCGAUAAGAAUGGUUUGUAUUGUUUGUGUAAUUAACAUAAUCAUACUUUCGAUAUUGAUGACAAAUUCAUGAUUUGUUGUAAAAGUUCUAUUGCAAUCUUGUUUUAUGUAAUGUUUUUAAAUGGAGUGUUUCAUCCUACACCUCCAAC
rnacentral:lncRNA from 1 species